rnacentral:lncRNA from 1 species
GUUAAAAAUCAACCCCUGACUUAACUGCUUGUGUUAUCUAUAGAUUCCAGACAUUGUAUGGAAAAGCAUCGUGAAAAUCCGUCCUGUUCUGUUCCGUUCUGAUUACCAGUGCAUGCAGCCCCCAGUCAUGUACCCACUGCUUGCUCAAUCAUUCACGACCCUCUCACGCGGACACUCUUAGAGUUGUAAGCCCUUAAAAGGGACAGGGAUUGCUUACUUGGGAGCUCAGUUUUUUGAGACGUAACUCUGCCGACGCGCCUGGCCAAAUAAAGCCCUCUCCUUCCUCAACUCGGUGUCUGUGGCUCGUCCUGCUACAAUGCAUCUACCCAUACAGAUGGUGUCCGGAAUUUCAAAUAAUACUGAGUUAUGGGAAUUGCCACAGUUUUGAUGCCAAGGUCACUUCCUAAUAAACUUCCUGAAUGCAAAUCUUGACCUUAGGGUCUGUUUCCCAGGUAACCCAAUCUAGGAGGGAUGGUUUCAGAAAUAAUAGAAAGAAGCAGGCUCUAAAAUGGGAUUUUGCAGCUAGUUCUGCUGCUAAUUAGCUGGCAAUUAGGGUCUUCAUUGCUAGGGGUAGGUAAAGCACUGAUAAUCCCUGACAUACAAAAACUUAUUAACAUUUUCACAGGUUGUAAAAUAGGCCUUUGAAAUAUUUGGGUGGAAUAUUACUAAUAAGGGCAAUGGAAUCAAAUGUUUUUUGUUAAAUGCCAUCAAUUCACUGGAGAAAAAGAAGGAAAGGCUAAGGGUAAUUAAUCAGAAAUGGAAGUUCAAAUGUGAAAGCCAUAGGAGCUGUUUGGGAUCAUGUAAACAGAAUGUUAUCUCCUGUAGUGAUAGGGCAGGAAAAGCUAAGGAUUUUGUCCAGGACCUGAUCAUAAGAGUAACUGAAGAGCUGAGAAAGAGGAAUGCUCAGUUCUAAAAUAUCUGCUUGCCAAGAUCAAGGCCUGGUUAUUAGGAAGGGUGGGACCCUGAUACUGGGGGAUGGAAACAUUUGUACUGAUUCAUCAAAAACCUUGAAAGCCUAGAUUCCCCUGAAGUAGCUCAUUUCUCCCUGUUACAGGCUGCCUCUCCAGUAUUGCUUGAAGACUAUGCAAAAGCUUCUGCCUUGCAAAUCAACUUGCAUCUGUAUCAGGAUAUGCUCUCACCUCCCCUCCUGGUCCCUGGGCUGGCCAUUUAAGGGAGAAAAGGGACUAAAUUUCAAAAGGAGCUGAGGGACCCAGCCAAUACCUACUAGCAGAAGCUGGGAAAAUAUACAUGUUGACUAUCCUAAUAUAAAAAUGUAAACUCUGAAAUGCUCCAAAAUAUGAAACUUUUUGAGUGCCAACAUGAUACUCAAAGGAAAUUCUCACUGGAGCAUUUUAGAUUUUUAGAGUUUUGGAUUAGGGAUGCUAAGCCAGUAGUGCAAGUAUUUCAAAAUCCAAAAAAUUGUAAAAUCCAAAACACUUCUGGUCCCAAAAUUUUGGGUAAGGGGUACUUAACCUCUGUAUGGUACUGGAUCAUGAGGUUCUGGAUCAAGGAAAAGCAGAAGAUAAGGUUGGAUAAGUGUGAGUUUAUUCAUAUGGGCACAUUCUCCCAUGAUAUAGAAUUUGACUUCUGACAUGAGCUUCUGCUUCAUUUAUCGUUCACUCAUACCUUAUAAUCAGUAAUAGUGGGAAUCUUUUUUUUAGGUUUCUGUACAUUUUAAGGUACUGUACCAAGCUACUAACCUGUUGCUCACAUUUUGCCCACUCUCUUCCUGGAAUUCCAUUACCACCUUUCUUUACUUGAUUAUAUCCAGCUCAUCCUUCAUGAUUUAGCUCAUCUCCAAAUCCUCAGCUAAGGCUAAGUAUACAUUCUUAAUUUUCUCAUAGCACCUUUUUCAGAUCUCUUAUAUGGUGAGCUCAUUUAUUUAUUGAACUUUGUCUUCCACUUCAUUCUCAAAGUCAAGAAUUAAGUGUUAUUUAUCUUUGUAUUCUUUAUGUCCACCAUGGUUCCUUUCACAUAGAGGCACACAACAAGUAUCGGCUGAACUACAUGAAACACACUAACAAGUGUCAUUUUCUAUGUGAAGCCUUUUCCAACCAUGAGCAAAGCUUUGCUUACAGCUAUAGUCACUGUUACCAAGCUGCAGGUUGAGGCUACUACUUUUGUGGAUUGGUCAGUGAAUGAGUUUUAAAGUUAUUGUGUAAAUACAGUUUGAUAUGUGGUAUAUAUUCUGUGAGAAUAACCCAUUUCUCAAUGUAGGGAAGGUUUCUUUCUAGAUGGAGGAAGAGGACAGUAAGUAAACUGGGUAAAUUAGCUUCCCAAGUUUGCUGCAUCUAGUCUAAUUCCCCUUCCAUCACACAACACAUAGAAAACAAUCCUGUCUCAGUCUGCUUUAUGCUGCUAUUACAGAUACCACAGACUGAUUAAUUUAUAAUGAACAGAAAUGCAUUUGGCUCACACUUCUAGAGGCUAGGAAGUUUAAGAUUGAGAGAACACAUCUGGAGAGAACCUUCUUGCUGCAUCAUAACAUGGCAGAAGGCAUCACAUGAGCAAGAGAGAACAAGAAUAGGGGCCAAACUCAUCUUUGGUGAGUAAAGACUUCACUCCCAUGGUAACAAACCCACUGCUGCAAUAACUGCAUUAAUCCAUUCAUGAAGGCAGAGCCCUUAUGAUCUAAUCAUCUCUUAAAGAUCCCAUCUCUCAAUACUGUUGCACUGGGGUUAAGUUUUCGACACGUUAACUUUGGAAGACACAUUCAAAUUAUAGCAAAUCUUAUUCUACUUAUAUCAAAGAUUUUAGCUAUAGAGAGAUCAGUUGCCUUUCAUUUAACAAGGGUUUCGGUUGCAUGAAGAAAAAUUGAUUAAAACUCACUUAUUACAAAGUAUAAAGCCAAAACUUAGAGUUAAAAAGUAAAUGUAAAAAUAACUCAGCAUUUUUCUUCUCCUAAUAUUGGUAAAAGCAAACUCUAAAACUCUGGAAUGCUCUAUUCUGCUCUUUAAACUUUGUCGUUGAAGUUAAAUUAGCUAGUAUGAUAUCACAUAUUUUUCAAUUUGAUAGAAGAGUAUCAGGGAAUAAUGAUCAUUGUGCAUAAAUGAAGAGAGUGGCUGCCCUCUUUACUAUGAAUUUAGUUUGCCAAAAAGACCACCCACACCAGAACAUUGCCACCUGUUGAAGCCUAAAAUUCUACUUAAAUUCCAGUAGGACCCUGCAACCUGACUGCAGAUUCUAUGUAUGCAUUUGUUAGGCAUAUGUGUGCCAAGUGCAAGGCAAAUUCUCCCAGGAGAAGCAACAUGUUUACAUGAAUGAGCUCAUAUCAAUGAAAAAGAGAAAGGAAUCAAUACUUGUGGAGAAGACAGUGUCAGUUUAUAGAGGGAAAGCAUGAAGAGAGAAAGCUUGGUCGGGUGGGAUGGCUCAUGCCUGUAAUCCCAGCACUUUGGGAGGCUGAGGCAGGUGGAUUGCUUGAGGACAGGAGUUUGAGACCAGCCUGGCCAACAUAGUGAAACUCCAUCUCUACUAAAAAUACAAAAAUUAGCUAGGCACGGUGGCAG